rnacentral:rRNA from 1 species
UACGUAGGGGGCAAGCGUUAUCCGGAAUCAUUGGGCGUAAAGCGCGUGUAGGCGGUUCCGUAAGUCCGCUCUGAAAGCCCAGGGCUCAACCCUGGGAGGCGGGUGGAUACUACGGAACUGGAGUACGGAAGAGGAGAUUGGAAUUCCUGGUGUAGCGGUGAAAUGCGUAGAUAUCGGGAGGAAUACCUAUGGCGAAGGCGGCUCACUGGCCCGAUACUGACGCUGAGGCACGAAAGCGUGGGGAGCAAACAGG